rnacentral:lncRNA from 1 species
AUACAUCUUAUCGCAUAGUGACGACAGAUCUGGAGUGUUGGUCCCAAUGUUGCCAAUACCUAGGUGGUUGCUAUUAGACAACUAAUUCUCUCUUUGCCAUUUCCUCAUCUGUUGAAUGAUGAGGGAGUUCCAGGUCUAAGAACUAUGGAAACAUUCUGCUCCAAAUGCCUGUUGUUCGAUCCACAAAUAUGCCCCAAGAUUAUCCCACCAAUUGGUUACAUCAGGCUGUGCUGGCCACAGAGUGGCCCACGUGUCUGUUUUCCAAGGCCAAGUGCCUGGUCUAACUGUGUCCCUAGCUGGGCCUGGCAGAGAGGUGGUGGCCGGGCCAGCAGAAUGAUGUUGGUACAGGAAGAGGAUUUUUCUCAGGAUAAAAGGCUGACUCUAGCCUGCAGCUCAUGGCCUUUAAUAGCCUAAUGAUCACGUGAGAGUCCUUGGCUUGGUCUGGCCUGGCCAGGCCCUGAGCACUGGCAGGAGAGCCCCACCCAGGUUAAUUGAUCUGUUUCUAUCCUCUGACAGGCCCUGGGCAGGAGUUGGCACAUUUUCCUCUGUGCACAGAUCUUCCCCGUGCCAGGCUUACAAAAGGAAGUUUCCGGAGCUGAGCAGCUUUUCAGGAGCUCCAUGGCCAGUUCACCUCCCCAUUCUGACACCUAACGCCGUGAGGCUCCGUCCUUGAAGAGAUGUAACAUGUUCUGGAGAAGAUGUCAAGGGUCACUUCGAAGUGUGCACAGGAAAGAAAACUGAUCCUGUAGCCACAGAAAAACAGGACUGAGACCAGGAAGGGCAAGUCGUGUGUGUCAGCAUUGUGGACCUUUAUAUAAAUAAUAAUUUUCCAGUGGGAACUGUGAUCUCUUCUUGUCUCUUCUAUUUUUAAAUGCUAAUUACUUCUGAUUUUGUUUACGUAGGCGGAGCUAAUAAGAACAUUUGCUUCAUAACCAUUGAACCUAAUGUAUCUGUUUUUGGACACUGGUGAUUUAUUUUUGCACACAUGCUCCAAAUUGGUGCUAAUUACUUUAAAGGAUCAGAGUUUCUAUUCCAAGAGGGAUGACGACAGAAUGUCAAUUUGGAGUCUCUGAGCAUAAUGUCCCAAUUAUCAAUGCAUUCCAGACCAGAAUGGACUUGGCACCUUCUUGAAGGGAUUUGGCUUCACUUUUAUCAGCCAGUCCCUGGUUGUAGCUUCAUUAAAACUUGCUUUCUAGUAACUUGUGGAUGUGCCUAUACUUUUCUCUGUCUCAAAGACCCUUCAGUGUCAUAUCAGUAUCCUGAAUACCUACCUUUUCAUUUCCAGAUCAAAUACUUCUCCCUCUGAGCCUUUUUUGAUCUCUUUGGCCCAAGAUAAUUUUAAUUCCUAAGAUUUUCUGAUUCCUUUCUUAAAGAGGUUAGCACUUUCUACAUUGUAUUGUAAUCAUUUGCUGUUACAUUCUUACCUCCUUUCUAACAGAUAAGCCCCUUAGUGACAAUACCUUAUCUGAAUUAUCUUUGUCCCCACUGCACACUGAAACUUCUCCUGGUGCCCUGUACAUAAUAAGUGCUUUACACAUUGAUUUAAUUGCGGUUUGUUUAUAAUAUCCUACAUGCUCCAGAAAGAUUUUAAGGUAGAUUUAAAUAAAUAUUUAUGCAACAAAGGAAUGAAUACAUCUAUACGCACACAGAAUUACUAAAGUCUAUAAUCAAUAUAUGAAGUAUAACUACACAGUACAAAAUUUAACCAUCAUACCUAAAAGAAAAACAAACACGAUGCUGUGGGGAAUGCUUGAGAGGUAGUAACAAAGGCUUUAAAUCUUAAUGACCACCAAAGUAACCCACAUUCCUGAUAUGGUAUUUGCUCAACAUGAAUGUUUAGAUGAACAGGAGAUGAAAACUAUCUGAAGUGAGGGGAGGGGGUGUCACUGACUACACAGAAUAAAUAUGGAGCAUAUUGUGACCAAGAAGAUAUGGCCACAGAGGAAAAAGAGCAAAACAGGUCCAUCCUAAUUUGUUCAUUUACCGUUCACUUAUUCAUCCCACAAACUUGUAUGGAGAAGCCCCUAUGUCAAAUGCUAUGCUUGCACUGUGGAUGCAAAGGUAAAUAAAAACAUCCUAGUUUAGCUGUUUAGACCAGGGGUCAGCAAACUAUGGCCAAUGGGCCAUCUCCGGAUCACUGUUUGUUUUAUAAAUAAAGUUUUAUUGGAAU